AGCAUUAUCUUCAAUAUUUCUCAUUACCACGACCAUUGAUAUUACUUACGAUGUAAUAUUUAUUUUGUGAUAUAACGCAAAUACUGUCGACGAGGUUAUGUCUAUAAAUAGAAUUGGUAAAAGAAAAAUGUAGAUCAAUAAUAAUCGAAGGCAUCCUCUUUUACCGUGACAAUGCCGUUCUACAGUGCAGUCUACUAUGGUGAAAAAAAAAAAUUUCGCGGGAAGCAGAUUAAGAAAAGCUGCUGGGAAAGAAAUCACACGCAAGCUUAGUGUAAUUUUUAUCUGAUUAUUCUAUUCGUAAAAAGGACCAAGGGUGAAAUAUCGAGUAUAAAAAUGAAUAGAUCAACGAUAUUUUUUAUCGCAGCAGGUGUUAUUUCGUCGGAGAUCAUUUGGCAAGGAUAUAAAAGAUGUCGUAAUUUAGGAUGGAACACUUUUUUUAGAGGUUCUCUUAUUAAACAGAAGAAAGGAUCUCUAAUGGAAGUAUUAUUUUUUAUGGAAGAGUCAGCUUUUUGUCGACCACAUCUCAAUUUUCAUGAUAAUUGCAACGAAUUAAAUUGUGCCGUGGCUAAUUUAAAUAAAUUGAAAAAGUAUUUGAAAUCUGCCAAAUCCACUAUAGACGUGUGCAUGUACUUUUUUACUUCUCAACAAUUGGCCGAUGUUAUUAUGGAAGCACAGAAACGUGGAGUCGUAGUUAGAAUUAUAAUUGAUGCUAAUAUGGCAGAGCACAAUGACAAUCAAGCUAUACCUUCUCAUAAAGCAAACGCUCGAAGAACUCUCGAAAUGGAAAUUCUAUUGAUCAAGAGAAGAUCGUAUAAGAAAGGGAUAACGCAGAUCUGCUAAAAAGACGAAGACAUUUGCGUCACGCUGGAAGGUUGUAACUCAUCCGAUGGAUUCGUAAACACUGUAGAGAGAGAGAGAGAGAGAGAGAGAGAGAGAAAGAGAAUCGUGCGUGGGGUGUUAUAGCUAUCUACAAGUAUACUGUAUGGAGAGAGUUGGACGUUUGGAUCGGACGGUUGGAAUAAGACGAGGAAAAUCGUCUGUAUUGAGUCGGUUCGCCGAACGUGAGAGCUUGUCAAAACAUGCGCCUAAGAAUACACGAUUCGUGAUCGGAAAUAGCAAGACGGUGGCCCGAAAUAAGCGAAUCGCAAGAUAAUGGAACGCGGGUGCAUCCUGACUUAAGUAGCGACGCAAGCGAGGAAGAAGAUGAGGAUGAAGAGGGAGAAGGGAAGGACGUCCGGACGUUGGCAUACCCUCGUCAGGUGUUACGUCCUCAGCCGUGGCAAGGCGGCAGUCGAUGACACCACGAACGAGACGAGCUUCUGGACGACGUGUCGCCACUCGACUUUACUUGGCACCGAAUCACAAGCGUCGUUAGACGCCGUGUGGGAGCUAACUUAAAGUCGAACGCUCGAUUGAUACGUUCGGCUUCGUGACGUUUGGAAUCUCCUGGAUAGAGUUCAGAAACGAAUGCGCUUGGAAUAUAGAGCGAUCAACGAUCGGGCUUGCUCGACAGGUGCAUCGCUAAAAACUUCCUUAGCCCAAAUUUUAUUACACCUAAUGUAUUUCGUUUGGCCCGUGAUCGUUGCCAAGAAAUAAUCCACGAUGGCAACAAAUCGUAAGAUUCUCACGUGAGAUAACUCGGUGUAAUCGCGAACAUAUGUUCCGUCCUGAGUUCAUCGUUCUCUAAUAAAGUAUGCGGAUGAGAGGAGUAUCCCAGUGAUGCGAGAAAAAUCUUUUAUUAUCCGACGAUGUACUUCCUCGAGCUUUAAUA